CAACGCAGGUCAAACAUUAUAAACUGUUGUUGAAGCGAACAUUUUUGUUAUUCGCUUCAAUAGCAGUUGUUGAAGGGGGGAUUAAAUGUUCGCUUCAACAAAUAACAGUCGCAUAUACUCCAACUUUUGAUUCUCUCUCCUCCUCAUUUCUUCUAUUAACCUGAAAGAUUCAUUUCUCUCUCUUCUCUCCCCUCUCCUCUCUCCCGGUUCAAAACUCCUCAAACCAUCCGCCCCUUUCCAUGGAAGGUCUAUCUUCUCUCCCUCUCCCCCAUUCUCUAUAAUUUCAAAGAAGGUGUCUUCAUAAACGGCCUCGAUUUCGUUUUCUUUCUCUCUCCUCUUUCAAAAAAAAAUUCGUGUUAGAUCUAGAUAUUUCAAGCGAAAACGAGGGAGUGCAUCGGUCAAGCUGGUAGCUUUACUGUGUCGAGCAUGGUAUUCAGUUUGAUCAGUUGAUUGUUCCUGAUGAAUAUCGUUGCCCCAUUUCUAAAGAAAUUGUGAAGGACCCUGUUAUUUCAUCUACUGGAAGUGGGAAAAUGCAAGGAGUCUAUUGCCUCCAAAUGUUAGGGUUGUGGAAAUGAGUAUGAAUGAUUCCUGGUUUUGUGAUUCAAGACCUACUUUUCUCGUAAGGAAGAACAACAUGAAGAGUGUAGCUGGAAUCGAUUGGACUUUCAACAGUUAGGGUGGCGUUGAUGAUGGAUGCUAUAAGGAUUGGAGUCAUGACAUUCUUGUUUCAAGGAAGGGUAUGGUUUUCGAUCUCCUUUAAAGGCGGUCACACAAUCGGAGGUCAAUCAAGAAUUGGAAAGACAAGAGGUUGAAGAAAUGUUAGAUGAUUGUAUUAAAAUGUAUGCCCUUAAACAGGUUCCCUCUGAGAAAAUAUGCAUUGAGAAAGAGUCUAUAACUGAUGGAAUUUUGGAACUCAUAUCUGAAUUGGGGAUACAGAAAUUGGUGAUGGGUGCAGGAUCUAACAACAGAUUUUUUUGAGGUGGAGAUACAAAUUUUGAAAUGCACUUCCACAUUUUUUGUUCUGUUCCGGUUUCUAUAAUUUUACAGUAAUUGAUUUUAUUAUAACUACUUCUGAUUUUAGUGACCAUGUUCUAGGCAUUAUUAUAUUGAGCAACGACAAAUAUCAUAUCGUACAUGUUCUGAUAAAAACGCACCUCAAUCUAUAGGAUGACAUGUCCUGUUUUGUUGCCUUGAUAUUGCAGGAUAAAACCAAAACCCACCUCAGAACAGUCUAAUGAAGUCCUUAAUAAAGCUCCUGAUUUCUGUCAUAUCUGGUUUGUAUACAAGGGUCGUCUAAUAUAUACAAGGAAGUUUGAAGAUAGAAGGGUGGUGAAAUUUACUAUGGAAGACUUGUCAAGAAAUGAUAAAUGGGCAUGGUGUAAUUUUGGUAAUGGUUAAGGGAAGCGUAGGCCG